rnacentral:rRNA from 1 species
CGGUAAUUCCAGCUCCAAUAGCGUAUAUUAAAGUUGUUGCAGUUAAAAAGCUCGUAGUUGGACCUUGGACCUGGACAGGCGGUCCGCCUCACGGCGAGUACUGUCUUGCUGGGUCUUUCCUCUUGGUGAUCUGUUGUUUCGGCAGCAGGGAACCAGGACCUUUACUUUGAAAAAAUUAGAGUGUUCAAAGCAGGCUCGACGCCGGAAUAUAUUAGCAUGGAAUAAUAAAAUAGGACGUGCGGUUCUAUUUUGUUGGUUUUUGGAAUCGCCGUAAUGAUUAAUAGGGACAGUCGGGGGCAUUAGUACUCACAUGCUAGAGGUGAAAUUCUUGGAUUUUGUGAAGACUAACUUCUGCGAAAGCAUUUGCCAAGGAUGUUUUCAUUAAUCAAGAACGAAGGUUAGGGUAUCGAAAGCGAUUAGAUACCGUUGUAGUCUUAACAGUAAACUAUGCCGACUAGGGAUCGGUCGAUGUUAUCUUUUUGACUCGAUCGGCACCUUACGAGAAAUCAAAGUUUUUGGGUUCUGGGGGGAGUAUGGUCGCAAGGCUGAAACUUAAAGAAAUUGACGGAAGGGCACCACCAGGAGUGGAGGCUGCGGCUUAAUUUGAUUCAACACGGGGAAACUCA